GACGAACGCUGGCGGCGUGCUUAACACAUGCAAGUCGAACGGAAAGGCCCCUUUCGGGGGGUACUCGAGUGGCGAACGGGUGAGUAACACGUGAGUAACCUGCCCUUGACUUUGGGAUAACUUCAGGAAACUGGGGCUAAUACCGGAUAGGAGCUCCUGCUGCAUGGUGGGGGUUGGAAAGUUUCGGCGGCUGGGGAUGGACUCGCGGCUUAUCAGCUUGUUGGUGGGGUAGUGGCUUACCAAGGCUUUGACGGGUAGCCGGCCUGAGAGGGUGACCGGCCACAUUGGGACUGAGAUACGGCCCAGACUCCUACGGGAGGCAGCAGUGGGGAAUAUUGCACAAGGGGUGGAAGCCUGAUGCAGCAACGCCGUGUGCGGGAUGACGGCCUUCGGGUUGUAAACCGCUUUCGCUCAUGACGAAGCUUUGUGUGACGGUAGUGGGUAAAGAAGCACCGGCUAACUACGUG
rnacentral:rRNA from 1 species